UAGUCCAAUUUAGUCUUUUCUUUGCGCUACGGGUGAUUGAUUGAUCGCUAUUUGUUUCAAUUGCAGCUAACAUUUUUAUGGGAAUUACGGAAAAGGAUGUGCCUUCUGUGUAGGACUUCUUAUAGAAUUGACUGCAACCUCAGUCAUGUGAAUAGAAUGUCAGAAAUGCAAAGCUACGAAACUUCUUUCUGUCAUUAACUUUUAAGGUCAAAGCAUGAGGCAUGCCAUGGAAGAGUUCUUAGGACCCUUUAGAUGGUUCAAGCGACGCCAGCUUUUUUUCCCUGGCAUAAACAAGUUGCCUCAUCUAGACCUUCAACUAAGCAGUAGCUGCCUAAAAUUGAUUGAGGAGCCUGCAACGGACAACUAUGUGAUAAACUAUUGGGUUUGUACACAGGAGCGAUCAACUAACUUCAAGUUCAGCAAAUUUGAAUUGCCCUUCAAAGGUUCAUAUACAAACCUCCUUUUGCUUGAGAAACUAUUUAGACCUUCACAGGCAUCGGCUGGAACUUCGUAAAAUUUGAGGACAAAGGUUCCUUUGAUGAUAACAACAAAUUUAUUCUUGCUGGUAAUUUUUCACAAUAAGCUGUUCUGGAUUCAUGCUCCCUUCAUAUUCUUUUUUAAAUGAAUAUGUAAGUUCUUUUAAUGAAAAUGCAUGGAGAUGAGCAUUUUUCUAUUAGUCUAGGUCCUUGGGCUUCUUUCUACUGGCAAUCAUUCUUGGUAAUGUGUAAAUAUCUUCUUUGUAGUUAGUGGUUCGGAAUUCUUUUCCUCAACCUUGGGCUUGUGACUCAUGCUUUGGAAUUAAAAAAGUGGUUAUUCUUUGGA